GGAGGUAGAAUUCAUAGUGUAGCGGUGGAAUGCGUAGAUAUUAUGAAGAAUACCGGUGGCGAAGGCGGCCUCCUGGAUCUGUACUGACACUGAGGUGCGAAAGCGUGGGUAGCGAACAGGAUUAGAUACCCUGGUAGUCCACGCCGUAAACGAUGACAACUAGCUGUUGGGAGACAAUGUCUUUCAGUGGCGCAGCUAACGUUUUAAGUUGUCCGCCUGGGGAGUACGGCCGCAAGGCUAAAACUCAAAUGAAUUGACGGGGACCCGCACAAGCGGUGGAGCAUGUGGUUUAAUUCGAUGCAACGCGAAAAACCUUACCUACUCUUGACAUACUUGGAAGCUCUUGUAAUGAGAGUGUGCCUUUUGGAACUAAGAUACAGGUGCUGCAUGGCUGUCGUCAGCUCGUGUCGUGAGAUGUUCCGUUAAGUCGGAUAACGAGCGCAACCCUUACCCUUAUUUGCCAGCGAUUCGGUCGGGAACUAUAAGGGGACUGCCGGUGAUAAACCGGAGGAAGGUGAGGACGACGUCAAGUCAUCAUGGCCCUUACGAGUAGGGCUACACACGUGCUACAAUGGGGAAUACAGACGGACGCUAAGCCGCGAGGUGGUGCUAAUCCUAAAAAGUUCUUCGUAGUCCGGAUUGGAGUCUGCAACUCGACUCCAUGAAGUCGGAAUCGCUAGUAAUCGCGAAUCAGCAUGUCGCGGUGAAUACGUUCUCGGGUCUUGUACACACCGCCCGUCACACCAUGGAAGUGGAUUGCACCAGAAGUAGAUAGUCUAACCUUCGGGAGGGCGUUUACCACGGUGUGUUUCAUGACUGGGGUGAAGUCAUAACAAGGUAGCCGUA
rnacentral:rRNA from 1 species